rnacentral:rRNA from 1 species
CCUACGGGAGGCAGCAGUAGGGAAUCUUCCACAAUGGGCGAAAGCCUGAUGCAGCAACGCCGCGUGGGUGAAGAAGGUCUUCGGAUCGUAAAACUCUGUUGUUAGAGAAGAAAGUGCGUGAGAGUAACUGUUCACGUUUCGACGGUAUCUAACCAGAAAGCCACGGCUAACUACGUGCCAGCAGCCGCGGUAAUACGUAGGUGGCAAGCGUUAUCCGGAUUUAGUGGGCGUAAAGGGAGCGCAGGCGGUCAUUUAAGUCUGAUGUGAAAGCCUUGGGCUUAACCGGAGUAGUGCAUUGGAAACUGGGUGACUUGAGUGCAGGAGAGGAGAGUGGAACGCCGUGUGUAGCGGUGAAAUGCGUAGAUAUAUGGAGGAACACCAGUGGCGAAGGCGGCUCUCUGGUCUGUAACUGACGCUGAGGUUCGAAAGCGUGGGGAGCAAACAGGAUUAGAUACCCCAGUAGUC